UAUUUGGUGUUAGUUUUUUACACAUGUGAAAGCUAUUUGCUUCAGUACAUAGAUCUCUGCAGAUGAUAAAGUAAUACUAGGCUUGAUAGUAUUGUCCAUCAUUUGCUUCAGUAUAUAGAUCUUUGCUUCAGUACAUAUCUCUCACUUCUUAUCCAAGUGUUUGCUCCCAGUUCUAUAGCACUCUGCAGAUGAUUUGCUUCAAUACUUAGUGGCUAUUUUUUCUACUACACUGGUUAAAGAAAAACAGAGAAAAGAAAAUCUGCAUGUGUAUUAUAGUUAACCUAUCAUAUAUAUAUGAAAGUGUAAGUUGUUGCCUUGAAAAACUUGAGAUGCACUCAAAUAACGCAAGCAGAGAGUAUUUACUCAAUCUAAAUAAUGAAAUAAAUUUACUUAGUUUGAUGGUUCACAUAACACAACAGCCAAAUAAACAAUUUAAAUUAGUCAGUUUUUUGUCAUUCUAAAUAAUGAAAUAGUUAUUAUUAAUACCAUGGGAUAUUCUAAUUUUGUGAAGGCAUCUACCAGAAUAGGAAAAGGUUAUUAUUAAUACCAAGGUUGCUAGCUUCGAAAUACCUGAAGUGCUACUGCUAUCAGUUCUUAGACUUUGGUUUAAAUCAUCUAAAUUUUUUCUAUUGUUCUGUCAGGUCUAGACACUCUAUGAGUUCGAUGAUCUCGAGAGCAUCAUUGAUAGGACACUAAAGCGCGAUUUUGACACCGAGGAAGCACUCUGGUUGCUUAAGAUAGGUCUUGUGUGCAUCCCGGAUAGCCCUAAGAUCAAGCCCUCCAUGUCAAUGGUUGCUAAGAUACUGCAAGGUGAGUGUGCUGUGAGUGACAGGAUCAUGAGGCCUGGCCUGAUCACAGACGCCAUGGACCUGAAAGUCAGGAUGGUAGAGCCGAUUCAGUUCAACUUGACAUCAUGCUCGAGCACUGCCGCACCGGACCUUGUCAGGUCCAUUUGGAGGUCCAGGAUGUCAAAAUCAAGAACAUGAGAAGCACUUUGAGCAUUUUACACCUAAUAUGAGCAAAACACGAAAUGAAUCUGCAUUUCCUCAGGAUGAAAUUGACUCACAUAGAGAGCAUAUUUAUAAUGAACUGACCUCAGAUUCAAUUGCUUCAAAGAAGCCAAAAAUAAGGAAGAGAGAAAAUAACAAUUCUGUUUCAAGUUCUGCUCCCAACAUUCCUAAUACUCAAGAUUUUAUCACUACCUUCUGUGAGGUGGUGGAGGAUUUCUGUGGAAAAACCGAAAUUCCUGAAGAUGGAAAUUGCGGUGACUGGUUGUCAAUCCCACUUGGUGAUGUUAAGGUUCUCGUGAAUGAAAUUACAUCUGUUCGAUCCAAAAGGAUAUUGCAUGAGGUUCCUAUGGAUACAGUUACAAGGUUAUUGGAUGUGAUUGAUCGUCAGAUUCGAUAUUCUCAAGGUUUGUCGAUAGAUGUGAAAGAAAAUUCAGCAUGAACAAGGUCGAGGCAUUGUACAGGUUGUUCAAGAAGAUUGGCAACACCUUCAUUGAUGAUGGGCUGAUUAACAAGGCUCUUUCAAAUGGCAAGCCCACUGUUGUUGAGUUUUAUGCAAACUGGUAUGAAGUCUGCAGGGAACUAGCUCUAGAUAUCUACAAAGCUGAACAACAAUACAAGUCUGCAGGGAACUAGACUCUGAGAACCCUGUUGCUGAUGUGGAGAGCAUUGUAGCCAAGGGCAUAAGAGAUGGUGCAAUAAAUGCCACCAUAGAUCAAGCAAAUGGCUGGAUGGUAUGGAAGGAAACUGGUGAUGUCUACUCUACAAAUGAGCCAUAGAUCAUACAAAUGAGCCCUUGAUGCCACCCAGGAUUGGGAAGACACGUGGUAUGGGAGUUGGGCGCAAGCUCAAGAGCCACCGCAGGAACCAGAGGUGGGCUGACAAAGCAUACAAAAAGCCACUUGGGCAAUGAGUGGAAAAAACCUUUUGCUGGAUCAUCUCACGCUAAGGGCAUCAUUCUGGAGAAAAUUGGUAUUGAGGCCAAGCAGCCAAAUUCGGCCAUCCAUAAGUGUGCCCGUGUUCAGCUGGUGAAGGAUGGAAAGAAGAUUGCUGCCUUUGUGCCGAAUGAUGGUUGCCUAAACUACAUCGAGGAGAAUGAUGAGGUGUUGAUUGUAGGACGAGGAGACAUUCCUGGUGUCAGGUUCAAGGUUGUUAAGGUUUCUGGUGUGUCGCUGCUUGCACUCUUCAAGGAGAAGAAGCCAAGGUCUUAGAUCACUUUUGGUAGUCAAGAAUGGUGUAAACUGCCCAAGGCUCUGUUGUCAAAGUUAAAGUUUUGCUAGCAACAGAGCUGUUAAUUCUGAGCUGUACCUUUUUGUUAACAUUGACAGUUAUGUUACAGUGUAAACUGCCCAAGGCUCUGUUGUCAAAGUUAAAGUUCUGCUAGCAACAGAGCUGUUAAUUCUGAGCUGUACCUUUUUGUUAACAUUGAUAGCUCUGUUACACGACAUUAUUAUUUC